rnacentral:lncRNA from 1 species
GCCGAUUUUGGCCUCAAAAUUCAGGCUCAUCUGACGAAAGAUUUUGGACACUUUUUAAACCUUUAAGUGUCUAUUUCAAUUGAUUUGAUUAGUUUUUGUGAAAGUUUUUAACUGAUUUAGUCAUUAAAAACGCUCCGAUUCAAGCUUAAAUAUGAAAAAUCGAGCAAAUAUGCCAAAAAACGUCACUUUUCAGAUGGUUUUUGUCAAAAAUGAAAGUGGCCGCAUCCGUGUUCAUCCUCAACCUUUAUAUAUGUUAUGUAUUAUCAUUAAAUACAACUUGCAUUUCAAUAUUAUGAAUGAACACGAAUGCGGCCACUUUCAUUUCAGACGGAAGCCGUCUAAAAUUUAACUAAAA